rnacentral:rRNA from 1 species
CAGAAGCACCUCAACCCGCUGUCCGCCAGAGACUACAAGUGAAAGUCAAAACUCAAAGGACUUGGCGGGGCCCACAUCACCCUAGAGGAGCCUGUCCUAUAAUCGAUAACCCACGUUAUACCUCACCUGCCCUAGCACCACAUCAGCCUAUAUACCGCCGCCUUCCGCCCGCCUUACUAAAGAGCACAUAGCGGGCCAAACAGCCACCACUAAUACGACAGGUCAAGGUGUAGCUAACGCGCAGGGAAGAGAUGGGCUACAUUUUCUGCCACCAGUAACCUACCAACAGCACUCGGGAAGCCGACGCCAAAAGGCGGAUUUAGCAGUAAACCGGACAAACUUGCCCUGUUGAACUCUGCCCUGGGCACGUACACACCGCCCGUCACCCUCUGCA